rnacentral:rRNA from 1 species
UACAGAGGUCCCAAGCGUUGUUCGGAAUCACUGGGCGUAAAGGGCGCGUAGGCGGCCAUUCAAGUCGGAGGUGAAAGCCCAGGGCUCAACCCUGGAAUUGCCUUCGAUACUGUCUGGCUAGAGACCGGAAGAGGUAAGUGGAACUGCGAGUGUAGAGGUGAAAUUCGUAGAUAUUCGCAAGAACACCAGUGGCGAAGGCGGCCAACUGGUCCGAUACUGACGCUGAGGCGCGAAAGCGUGGGGAGCAAACAGG